CAACAGGGUUUUAUGUUCAAUGAUGUUGUGCGUAUGGCACAUACACUACUGGACCUUCAAAGGGGAUUAAGUAUGAUUUGAUUUCUCCAUAUUGCAACAUAAUAACCUACGUGGCUCUGAACUUCGAGAACAAGACCACCAACAGGGACCACAACAGUAAGAACUAACAUUACAGAGCAAUGAUCCUAGGUAUAUGUGAGCUUCUUUGGCUACAGAAGUUACUUCAGAAGUUACGACUUCGGAAUAAGUUUCCUCUUCAACUGUAAAAUUACAACAAGAC
rnacentral:lncRNA from 1 species